GGAGGAAUACCCAAGUCCGGCUGAAGGGAUCGGUCUUGAAAACCGACAGGAGUGUAAAAGCUCGCAGGGGUUCGAAUCCCCUUUCCUCCUCCA
rnacentral:tRNA from 23 species